ensembl:lncRNA
CUGUUAAUAACUCCAGCAGAUGUUUCAGCUUUUUAGGCCAAUAGACUCCCUCUCUCCCUGCCCUCCCCUUUCCAGAAUCCGAUGCCAAUAUGACUGAACUCCAGUUUUUGUGGUUGUCGUCACCACUGCCGCUGCUGCUAGGGCUGGUGAUACAAUGCCGCUGAGGAAUGAUCCUUUAAACAACCACUGGCAACAGAACCUCAGCCCUUUAAGAGCAGUGCUCAAGGAAUGUUUACAGCUAAGGAGGCUCCAUGGAGGAUUGCCUAAAGGACAUGAAGUCCAUCCAUCUCUCCAGAUAGUUUAGAUUAUAUCUCAAGAUCAAGGUAAACCAUCAAACUAAAUACUUGAGCCAUAUUGUUUUGGCCCCUUUUACUAUUACUCACUUUUACUGAAUUGCAUUUUGGCAUGGGGCCUUAGCUGGCAUUGAAGAGCCCAACAAGAAAUAGCCAUAGGCCUCUCAGCCUUUUUAGCAUCAUGGAGGCUGUUCAAAAGGAAAGGCACCAUCCUCAGUAUCAUUUAUGUUCCAUUCGUGAGGGCACAAAGAGCCAUUUCUCUUAGACCCAAAUGCCAGGAAACAAUUGGUUUUUCACGAGUAAUGGCAAUGUUUUUGCAUGUUUGUAUGGUCUUGAAGCGGGAAUGCAUGGUUUCAAAUUCAGCAUCCAUCAUCUAUUAGUUGGUUGAUCUUAAGCCUAUUAACUUCUCUGUGCUUUGAUUUCUUCAUCUACAUAUUAGCAAAAAUAACAAUAUGUGCUCCAUAGGAAUGCAGUGAGAAUCAAAUGGAACAAUGUAAAAAUGUUUAGCAUUAUGUCUGGCAAACCAUGAGUCCUUAAUACAUAUUAGUUAUUAUUAUUAUCUUACACCUGAUAUUUUUGUUUUAUUUUUGUGUUUUGCCUUCAUCUUCAGUGUGGUGUGCCUUUGGAAUAAUUUAUCUCUGGUUUCCACUUAGUAUUAUUUUCCAUUUCUUUUUACCUACACUUCACUUAUUUUUCAUCUGAUAUUCACCUAGCAGGGUUUGGGAACGAGGCUGAAUAUGAGAAAGUAAACAAAAGUUCUUACACCAGUCAGUAACUAUAAAGAUGAUUCUAUCUGUCUUUAUCUUAGAAACAGUUUCAAAGAUAGUAAAAUGAACUUUCUUAUACCACAUUCGUAUAUAGAAAUGAAUGUUUCCUUGAAGUCCAUUUCACUUGGUAUUGACUUUUCUUAUAAUCGCUUUUGAUCAGGCCCCCUAUAGGGACUUGGCCCUGACUCAGUAUUGGCUCAAAUACUGCUCACUGUGAAUAAAUGUUACUUUAAUUGCAGAGAGGAACAGAUUAUUGUAGCUUGAGAAAUAGCUAAAUUCUGCUGUGGAAUGAGGGCUGGAUUUGAGGGUCAAAGGACCUAGGUGUAGAUGCCAACUCUGACACCAGCUCUUUGCCAUUGGAACUCUUGCCUCAGUUCUUUUAUCUGCUAAGUAGGGUUAACAAUAUUGAUCUCACAGUGUGAUUGUUAGAAGUAAAGAAUAGAUUCAGCAAAAAUUAGUUGAAUCUGCAUCCAGUGCAGGCGGUAGCAUUCAAGCAAUCAUUCACACUUGUACUUGAAAAAUAGGGCCAAAUUAUUCAGUCUUUUUUUUUUUUUGAGACACAGUCUUGCUUUGUCGCCCGGCACCAGGCUGGUGUGUAGUGGCGGGAUCUCAGCUCACUGCAACCUCUGCCUCCCGGGUUCAAGCAAUUCUCCCGCCUCAGCCUCCUGAGUAGCUGGGACUACAGGCACACGCCACCACACCCAGCUAAUUUCAGUAUUUCUAGUAGAGACGGGGUUUCGCCAUGUUGGCCAGGAUGGUCUUGAUCUCUAGACCUCGUGAUCCGCCCACCUUGGCCCCCCAAAGUGCUGGGAUUACAGGUGUGAGCCACUGCACUCCGCCAAUUCAGCCUUCUUAAUUAUAUUUAACGGCAACUUGAACAUACUUAUCUUAUUUAACUAUUUGAAAUAUGGAUACUAGCCAUUUCGAAAUAUUUAGUCAAAAGUCAAUAAAAAAGCUUUAAUUCUCGUUUAAGAAUAUUCAGGAAAUUUCGUCUUGGUAUCAGAUUAUCAACUUGGUCUGCAAUGUCACAGGAGAAACAUGAAAAAUAUCCCAGAUUGUAUUCUCUGCUUUUAACUAAAUAAAUAAUUGGAAAAAUCCCUGAUAUCCAAAUAAGUCUGCUUUGUUUCCUGGCAGACUUAUUUUGUUUUGCUUAUUGUUAUUGUUGCUGGUUUUGCUGCUGCAUAGAGCAGUAAGCACAUGCAGGUGAAAGGAAGCUUUUGUUUUGUUAACUGAAGGUACGUGGGCACGGGAUGUCUUAUCCCUGGUGUUAAUAGCAAAAGGGUUUAGGCCAAUUCUUUAAGGAAAUAGGAGCACUUACUUUCCUAAACCCCUCUCACCUGUCAGGA